AACGAACGCUGGCGGCAGGCCUAACACAUGCAAGUCGAACGCCCCGCAAGGGGAGUGGCAGACGGGUGAGUAACGCGUGGGAACCUACCUUUCGGUGCGGAAUAACUUCGGGAAACCAAAGCUAAUACCGCAUACGCCCUACGGGGGACAGAUUUAUCGCCGAUAGAUGGGCCCCCAUCGGAUUAGCUAGUAGGUGAGGUAAUGGCUCACCAAGGCAACGAUCCGUAGCUGGUCUGGGAGGAUGAUCAGCCAAACUGGGACUGAGACACGGCCCAGACUCCUACGGGAGGCAACAGUGGGGAAUAUUGGACAAUGGGCGCAAGCCUGAUCCAACCAUGCCGCGUGAGUGAAGAAGGCCUUAGGGUUGUAAGCUGCUUCUGUACGGAACGAAAAGACUCUGGUUAAUACCUGGGGUCCAUGACGGUACCGUAAGAAUAAGCACCGGCUAACUACGUGCCAGCAGCCGCCGUAA
rnacentral:rRNA from 1 species